AACUAUAACCGUUGUGAUGCCUGUAUAAGUUCAUGAUUGGAUGAACGUUUCUACCAGCUACCGGAAUAGUUGACUACAUGCUUCUAUUUUGUAUAC
rfam:Clostridium bolteae CAG:59 genomic scaffold, scf24